rnacentral:tRNA from 1 species
GAGGGCAGAGCUUAGUGGUAAGCACACACUUAGCAUGUGUGAGGCCCUGGGUUCAAGUCCCAGCACCCCCC